AGCGAACGCUGGCGGCGUGCCUAACACAUGCAAGCCGAACGUGAAAAGGGAAACCUGAGUAAAGUGGCGUACGGGUGAGUAACGCGUAGGUAAUCUACCCCAGAAUCUGGAAUAACCUGCCGAAAGGCGGGCUAGUACUGGAUAGAGCGAGGGAACUCGUAAGAGAGUUUUUCGGGAAAGGGAGCCCGCAAGGGCCUUCGUUCUGGGAUGAGCCUGCGUCUCAUUAGCUAGUUGGUAAGGUAACGGCUUACCAAGGCGAUGAUGAGUAGCUGGUCUGAGAGGAUGAUCAGCCACACUGGAACUGAAACACGGUCCAGACUCCUACGGGAGGCAGCAGUGGGGAAUCUUGCGCAAUGGACGAAAGUCUGACGCAGCCACGCCGCGUGAGUGAAGAAGGCCUUCGGGUUGUAAAGCUCUGUCGGAUGGGACGAACAUCUUCAUAGUGAAUAGCUAUGAGGACUGACGGUACCAUCGAAGGAAGCACCGGCUAACUCCGUG
rnacentral:rRNA from 1 species